rnacentral:rRNA from 1 species
GGAUUAGAUACCCUGGUAGUCCACGCCCUAAACGAUGAACACUCGCUGUUGGCGAUACACAGUCAGCGGCUAAGCGAAAGCGUUAAGUGUUCCACCUGGGGAGUACGCCCGCAAGGGUGAAACUCAAAGGAAUUGACGGGGGCCCGCACAAGCGGAGGAGCAUGUGGUUUAAUUCGAUGAUACGCGAGGAACCUUACCCGGGCUUGAAAGUUAGUGAAUUAUCUAGAGAUAGAUAAGUGAGCAAUCACACGAAACUAGGUGCUGCAUGGCUGUCGUCAGCUCGUGCCG